rnacentral:misc_RNA from 1 species
UGGUUCCCGCAUCGAUGAAGAACGCAGCGAAAUGCGAUACGUAAUGUGAAUUGCAGAACUCAGUGAAUCAUCGAAUCUUUGAACGCACCUUGCGCCCUUUGGUAUUCCGAUGGGCAUGUCUGUUUGAGUGUCGUGAAAUCCUCAACCCCCCUAUUUUGUAAUGAAGUAGGCGUAGGGCUUGGACUUAAUGGUUGCCGGACCCUUCCGGGCUCGACUCUAUUGAAAUACACGAGUGCAUCCAGCUUUUGAAAGCAGCGGCUUGACUCGGCGUGAUAUUACUAUUCGCUGAGGACGCUGAUCCAUCUUUUGAAACCGCGAGCGCUAAUACUGCGGCUUUUAGCCUUAAGCUUUAGACCUCAAAUCAGUCAGGAUUACCCGCUGA